rnacentral:rRNA from 1 species
GAGUGGCGAACGGGUGAGUAAUACAUCGGAACGUGCCCUGUAGUGGGGGAUAACUAGUCGAAAGAUUAGCUAAUACCGCAUACGACCUGAGGGUGAAAGUGGGGGACCGCAAGGCCUCAUGCUAUAGGAGCGGCCGAUGUCUGAUUAGCUAGUUGGUGGGGUAAAGGCCCACCAAGGCGACGAUCAGUAGCUGGUCUGAGAGGACGAUCAGCCACACUGGGACUGAGACACGGCCCAGACUCCUACGGGAGGCAGCAGUGGGGAAUUUUGGACAAUGGGCGAAAGCCUGAUCCAGCAAUGCCGCGUGUGUGAAGAAGGCCUUCGGGUUGUAAAGCACUUUUGUCCGGAAAGAAAUGGCUCUGGUUAAUACCUGGGGUCGAUGACGGUACCGGAAGAAUAAGGACCGGCUAACUACGUGCCAGCAGCCGCGGUAAUACGUAGGGUCCAAGCGUUAAUCGGAAUUACUGGGCGUAAAGCGUGCGCAGGCGGUUGUGCAAGACCGAUGUGAAAUCCCCGAGCUYAACUUGGGAAUUGCAUUGGUGACUGCACGGCUAGAGUGUGUCAGAGGGGGGUAGAAUUCCACGUGUAGCAGUGAAAUGCGUAGAGAUGUGGAGGAAUACCGAUGGCGAAGGCAGCCCCCUGGGAUAACACUGACGCUCAUGCACGAAAGCGUGGGGAGCAAACAGGAUUAGAUACCCUGGUAGUCCACGCCCUAAACGAUGUCAACUAGUUGUUGGGGAUUCAUUUCCUUAGUAACGUAGCUAACGCGUGAAGUUGACCGCCUGGGGAGUACGGUCGCAAGAUUAAAACUCAAAAGGAAUUGACGGGGACCCGCACAAGCGGUGGAUGAUGUGGAUUAAUUCGAUGCAACGCGAAAAACCUUACCUACCCUUGACAUGCCACUAACGAAGCAGAGAUGCAUUAGGUGCUCGAAAGAGAAAGUGGACACAGGUGCUGCAUGGCUGUCGUCAGCUCGUGUCGUGAGAUGUUGGGUUAAGUACCGCAACGAGCGCAACCCUUGUCUCUAGUUGCUACGAAAGGGCACUCUAGAGAGACUGCCGGUGACAACCGGAGGAAGGUGGGGAUGACGUCAAGUCCUCAUGGCCCUUAUGGGUAGGGCUUCACACGUCAUACAAUGGUGCAUACAGAGGGUUGCCAAGCCGCGAGGUGGAGCUAAUCCCAGAAAAUGCAUCGUAGUCCGGAUCGUAGUCUGCAACUCGACUACGUGAAGCUGGAAUCGC